UACCAGCUCUCCGAGUUGUAGGGAUGAUUAUUGGGCUUAAAGCGUCCGUAGCUGGCUUAGCAAGUCUCCUGUUAAAUUCAGCGACCUAAUCGUUGAGCCGCGGGAGAUACUACUAGGCUAGGGGGCGGGAGAGGUCGACGGUACUUUCGGGGUAGGGGUGAAAUCCUAUAAUCCCGGGAGGACCACCAGUGGCGAAGGCUGUCGACUAGAACGCGCUCGACGGUGAGGGACGAAAGCUGGGGGAGCGAACCGGAUUAGAUACCCGGGUAGUCCCAGCUGUAAACUAUGCGGGCUAGGUGUUGGGGUGGCUACGGGCCACUUCAGUGCCGCAGGAAAGCCAUUAAGCCCGCCGCCUGGGGAGUACGGCCGCAAGGCUGAAACUUAAAGGAAUUGGCGGGGGAGCACCACAAGGCGUGAAGCUUGCGGUUC
rnacentral:rRNA from 1 species